UACGGUUCCCGGGCCUUGUACACACCGCCCGUCACACCACGAAAGUCGGCAACACCCGAAGCCGGUGGCCUAACCCUUGUGGGAGGGAACCGUCGAAGGUGGGGUUGAUGAUUGGGGUG
rnacentral:rRNA from 1 species